rnacentral:lncRNA from 1 species
AGAGAGAGAGAGUAGGGCUACUAUACUCUUAUGAGUAUAGAAUCCUUCGUAGUCAUAAGUUGUUUUCGAUGUUGGGGCUUUCGAAUCGACGAUCCACACCAUUAAACAUGAUCUAGAGUAUUUGAAAUUUCUAAAAAAUAAAUUUUAUAAUUUUUUGAAAUUAUUAUAAAGAUUAUCAAGUGAGUAUAAAAUGAACUGUCAAAUCGAACGAUAUUUUAAAAAUGGAUGAUCGAAUCCUUCUAUUUAAGAUCGGAGUUAUUGAUCUUUAUUUAGGCAGUGAAUAAAAUUUUCUAUAAAAAAUUCAGCCUAUUCCGACUCUUUUACAUCGUUCAACUAGCAAAUAUCUCAUACCGGCCGUUAACAAUUGUCAAUUUUGUGAGCUUUUGAUCGUAAGGUAAAUAAUAUCGAAAAAUUAUAAAAUUUGAUUUUCUAGAAGUUUUAAAUGCUCUAGAUAAUUAAUAUUUAACGGUAUGGAUCGUCGAUUCGAAAGCUCUAUUAUCGAAAACAACUUUUAAGUAUGAAGGUGAUCGUACUCGUAAGAGUAUAGUAGCCGGACUCACUCACUCACUCUCUCUCUCUCUCUCUCUCUCUUAUAUAUAUAUAUAUAUAUAUAUAUCUUCAUCCUAUAUGUAUCUAUCUCCUAUAUAUAUCUUCAUCCUAUAUGUAUCUAUCUCCUUAAUUUAGGAAAGAGUGGCGCCUAUUUUUUUUUUUCUUAUUUUCUUUAGAUUUGUUAAGGUCUAAUAGUUUUUUUCUUUUUUUUUAUACCCUUUUCAUUUACCUUUAGGUCAUCCCCUCUGUUCUUUAUUAUGGGAAAGAGUGGGGCUAUUUGAUUGUUGUAUUAAUUAUAUAAAUAAUUUUAAUCAUUUAAUAGUAUAAUAUGCGAUUUCUCUUAAAUAAAAUUGAAUAAUUUUGUUGAAAAAAUUAAUUUUUUAUUAUAGUUUUAUUUUUUAAAAGUAUUUGUCUAUAAUAUAGAUCGAUUAUAUUUACCAUUCUUUUUGUAGUUGUUAAAAUCGGAACGGCGAAAAAUAGAUCCAGAAAAUAACUUAAUGCAAGAAAAGAAAAGAUAAGCGAAAAGAACACACCGAUAUUUACGUGGUUCGGCCAACGGCCUACGUCCACGGACGAAGACGGAGCAAAUACUUUAUUAAUGUCGAAAAGGCGGAGUACAAAAAAGAUCUCUCAAAUGAAUCCCAUAAUCCAAAUAAAUAAAUU